ensembl:lncRNA
GAAGAGAGGACAGUAGAGGACAGUAGAGGUGAAGAGAGGACAGUAGAGGACAGUAGAGGACGGUAGAGGACAGUAGAGGUGAAGAGAGGACAGUAGAGUACAGUAGAGGACAGUAGAGUUGAAGAGAGGACAGUAGAGGACAGUAGAGGACAGUAGAGGACAGUAGAGGACAGUAGAGGUGAAGAGAGGACAGUAGAGGUGAAGAGAAGACAGUAGAGGACAGUAGAGGUGAAGAGAGGACAGUAGAGGACAGUAGAGGUGAAGAGAGGACAGUAGAGGUGAAGAGAGGACAGUAGAGGUGAAGAGAGGACAGUGGAGGACAGCAGAGGUGAAGAGAGGACAGUAGAGGUGAAGAGAGGACAGUAGAGGACAGUAGAGGUGAAGAGAGGACAGUAAAGGACAGUAGAGGUGAAGAGAGGACUGUAGAGGACAGUAGAGGUGAAGAGAGGACAGUAGAGUACAGUAGAGGACAGUAGAGGUGAAGAGAGGACAGUAGAGGUGAAGAGAGGACAGUAGAGGUGAAGAGAAGACAGUAGAG